GAGUGGAAUAUGUUCUUAGGCCUGGGUAUAUAGGGAAGCUUUGGUAAAUGGGGAGUUUCCAGUAUCCUAUGGAAACUUCCAGUAUCCAGAGGAUACUGGAAACUCACCUGGACAAAGGAAGUGAGAUAAUGCCUGGGGGGGGUGGUGUGGGGAAGGUGAAGUGUUGGCUCUCUUCACAGGAUCACUUCAGGCACAAGUCCUUGCCCAGGGACCAAGUGAACAUUGCACAGGCAGCCAGAACCAAUGGCCAGCCCACUGUGAAUCUGCAUCAGCAGGAAGGGGCUUGAGUGAGGAGGGGCAGCUCUGUAGGCAAUGGAGCAGAGAUCAGAGACAGACUUGCACUGGGCCCAGACUCAGUAUGUAGCAAUACAGUUGUCCCUUCUUAUCUGCAGGGGAUAUCUCUCCCUGGAUACCUGAAACUUAGACGGCUUCAGAAGACUCUGGAAGCUGCUUAUUGCCCAGUAUUUUCCACUGCAACCCCAGACAGACUUAGACUGCAUCUCUACCUGCUGGACACCAAGGAGAUCGACAACCCUGCUUUUAGCUUUCUCUUUGGAAUAUGGACAGUAAAACUUCACUAAUACUCCACCUUUAUUCCAAGGACUGUUUGUGGCAGCUUCCUGAUCCCUGGAUUGUAGCUACGGCACUGUGUUCUCAAACUCAGUAUUUCAGCGGCCAUCGGAGACUGCAGCUCCCCAGGGAGGCAGCUGACAUGUUGUGAAGACACUCAGAUUUCUGCCAACAACCAACACUGAUCUGCCAAGCGAGUAAGUGAGCCACCUUAGAAGCAAAACCUCCAACCUCGGUCAAGUGUACAGGAAACUGCAGCACGAGCUGACAUCUUGACUGCAAUCACAUAAAAGACCCCAAACCAGGAUCACCCGCCUAAGUCACUCCUUACCCAUAGAAACUGUGAAGAAGAAACAUCAGUUUUGGUACAACAUGAACCCUAACUCACAGGAGAUCCACCUGCUUCACUGUCCAGAGGAAGCGAAUGAACUGGAAGGCAUCAGGCCAAUUACUCAUUAAGUCUCUGCAAUCCAUUUCGAGUCCCAGUUUCCUAUUGAUAUUAUGCCUUGAAUGUCAGGGAUGACUUCCUCCUAGGCAAAAUUAAUAGCUUUUUUAUUGGUCCCCAAAUUUGCCGAUGGUAUUUGAUGUCAGUGGUCACCCCAACUUGAGCACAUUCUUUUGGUUUCUGCGAUCCUGUACUUUCCUGUUAUUAACCAGGGCCAGGGCUAGGGUGAAGAAAGCGAAGUGCUCAGAAUGCAAAAUUCAAGGAGGCACUCACUCUCAGGGUCAUGCGAGUGAAAUGUGUUCACACUGAACAUGUUUUUGGCUAGUCAAGACCAACUGUAUUUAGCACAAUGAAAAGAAUAAAAGCAUUUUGCCUUUAUUUCACUUACUGUUUUUCCACGGCAGAACAUACGGCAGAGACUUGGGAACACGCAUGCCUGAAGCCAGGUUACUCUUAUGUUCCAUAACUAUGUUGCUUGCAGGGCUGCAAAAAGAAAGACAAAUUUGCCUAUGCCCGCCUAUCUGUAUUCUCCAUGCAGGCACACACAAGACCAUCAAAAAUGUGUUUUUUGUAAUUUGGGGGAAAACAGCAAACUACAUUCUGAAAUGUAAACACAUUUCCAUCAAAACAUUCUUGCAAUUAGAAUGAUUACUACUUCUCUGAAAAGCUCACUGUUCUGUAAAAGCAUUAAGAUGGGUCUGACCAUUUUCAUUUUCCAGAAAUUGAGAUAAACAGCAAUGCCAUCUACUGUUCGGUUGUGUGACAGGCUCAUCAACUCACUCAACAAAUAUGAGAGAUAAAAUGCCAAGACAACCAAACCAAAGGCAACACAUCUCAUAGGAUGGAGGGAAAAUUAAAACUGUACUAUUAAAAUUCAUCUUCAAGUUCUUCUAUUUUAGUGCACACACACAAUAAGGUACACGUGCCAUUGUUAACUUAUCUUAGGAGCUAAGAAAUAAAAAUUGAUAAGCAUUCUAUUUGGG